GUAUUUGAUAUGCAAAGUAGUUCGCCGACAGUAUGAAAACCUUGAUAAAAUUUAGCUAGGAUUGUGCAAAUAUGUUUGUGGAUUUGGAAUAUGAUUCAUAAUUCUGGAAAGAGGGAAUACACCAUGAUUUUACUGUGUGAGGUCAGUGAUGUUUGGUUGUUUUGAAUCCAGCUUCUUUUACAGUAAUUUGGACAAACACGCCUUUGAGGAAGAAAUAAAAAAGACUUGUUGAUAUUUAUUGAAUAUAUUGAGGAAAUAUAACAAAACAUGUUAUCCAUUGUUUGUGAACCAAUAUGUUCAUUUGGUUCCAAAUUUGUUUAAAAUACCCAUUCCUAUUUUGGUGUGGGUAACCACUACAUUUCAUUCACAUUUUUAUAGGAUAGGGAUAUCAAUUAUGAUCAAUGCAUGAAGACAUUCAUCUCUCACCUAACUUACCACAUUCAUAAACUGGUUACUUCUUACUUCUUUAAGUACCCAGUAUACUCAUAGAUUAUCGUUGGUCAUCUCAACAACAUUGAUUUUCUAGCUGGAGCUGGUACAGCAAAAUUGAGAAAAGCAAUCGAGUUGAAAUGACCAAUGAUAAUCUGUACAUCGAUAUUUACAUAUGGUGACAUUGUUAAUUUCCUUGACAAUAACAUGUGUGCCCUAAGUUUCUAGCGAUUAUUUUUCAUUUUACUCUACUGUGCAGAGAAUGGCUAUUAUCAGUCAGUAAGAUCAAGGGAAAAUUUCUUAAAAUAGCAAUAACUAUCAUUUUAUACUACUUCCAAAUAUUCAACUGAUAAAACAAUCUGCAAACAGAUAUUUGAUUGAAUAAGGAACAACAUCAACAGUUAAAUGUAGGAUAAAAAAUCUUACCUGGUAAUUCAGUUAAAUAAAUUUCUUUAUAUUUUAUAACUUUAUUCCGUUUUUAGAAUCUUUUGGUAUGUUUCACAUAAAAGCUUGCAACUUAGAUUGAUCUUAGGACAAAAAUGUUUCAUUUAAAUGAUACAUACCCUUCCCUGAUUUCUCCAUGAAGACAUUUUUUAUUCUUUUUCAAGUAAGAUUUUAUUCCACAACAGCCUUUUCUCUGUGUUGUUCCAUUGACAUAAAGCUUAUCACGACAACAUAGAUCUCUAUCCUUGUUAUAUUCUUUUUUCCCACAGUAAUGUUGUGUUUCCUUAAAUUUGACAUGUUCGUUACUACAAAAUAAUAUUCAUUGUCAAGCUUCAGGUUUUUUUUUUAACAACAAAUAUAUUCUUUAUUCUAAAGAUAUCUUGUUACAAUUAAACUUCACUGUCCAAGCGCCAGUGGAGUAUUCGUGUGAAAAAACUUCUGAGUUGCCAGGAACAUACUCAGAAUAUAAUAAACAAUAUUACAAAAACUAUUACAAUAUAUUCAACUUAUUCUAUUAAAUAUUUUCUUCAAAUUUAUGAAAAAUACAUUUUGAGAAAUUAUUUUGCUUUUAUUCAAAACCCUUCUUAAUGCCUUUAUAAACAAUUCAUACACA